UAAACUAACCAUACAUACGUCUACUGGA
rnacentral:sRNA from 1 species